CGAACGCUGGCGGCGUGCUUAACACAUGCAAGUCGAACGCGAAAGGGACUUCGGUCCUGAGUAAAGUGGCGCACGGGUGAGUAACGCGUAGAUAACCUGUCUUCAUGUCUGGAAUAAUACGCCGAAAGGGGUACUAAUACCGGAUAUUCUUGCUUUUCAUAAGUUAUGCAAGCAAAGGUGGCCUCUGCAUAUGCUACUGCAUGAAGAGGGGUCUGCGUACCAUUAGCUAGUAGGUGGGGUAAUGGCCUACCUAGGCGACGAUGGUUAGCGGGUCUGAGAGGAUGAUCCGCCACGCUGGCACUGGAACACGGGCCAGACUCCUACGGGAGGCAGCAGUGAGGAAUAUUGCGCAAUGGGGAAACCCUGACGCAGCGACGCCGCGUGAGUGAGGAAGGCCUUCGGGUCGUAAAGCUCUGUCAAGAGGAAAGAAGUGUACAAUGGCUAAUACCUGUUGUAUUUGACGGUACCUCUAAAGGAAGCACCGGCUAACUCCGUGCCAGCCGCCGC
rnacentral:rRNA from 1 species